CUUAACUGACGCUAAAGCUCGAAAGUGCGGGUAUCGAACAGGAUUAGAUACCCUGGUAGUCCGCACGGUAAACGAUGGAUGCCCGCUGUUGGCGAUACACUGUCAGCGGCCAAGCGAAAGCGUUAAGCAUCCCACCUGGGGAGUACGCCGGCAACGGUGAAACUCAAAGGAAUUGACGGGGGCCCGCACAAGCGGAGGAACAUGUGGUUUAAUUCGAUGAUACGCGAGGAACCUUACCCGGGCUUGAACUGCAGUUGAACGAUCCAGAGAUGGUGAGGCCCUUCGGGGCAGCUGUGGAGGUGCUGCAUGGUUGUCGUCAGCUCGUGCCGUGAGGUGUCGGCUUAAGUGCCAUAACGAGCGCAACCCUUUUCUCUAGUUGCCAUCAGGUUCUGCUGGGCACUCUGGAGACACUGCCACCGUAAGGUGUGAGGAAGGUGGGGAUGACGUCAAAUCAGCACGGCCCUUACGUCCGGGGCUACACACGUGUUACAAUGGGUGGUACAGAGAGUCAGCGGCCGGCAACGUCCGCUUAAUCAUGAAAUCCAUCCUCAGUUCGGAUUGGGGUCUGCAACCCGACCCCAUGAAGCUGGAUUCGCUAGU
rnacentral:rRNA from 1 species